AUUGAACGCUGGCGGCAGGCCUAACACAUGCAAGUCGAGCGAGCGGCGGACGGGUGAGUAAUGUAUGGGGACUGCCCGAUAGAGGGGGAUAAAAACUGGAAACGGUAGCUAAUACCGCAUACUAUCGGAUAACCCAUAUGGGAUUAGCUAGUAGGUGGGGUAAUGGCUCACCUAGGCGACGAUCCGUAGCUGGUCUGAGAGGAUGAUCAGCCAGACUGGGACUGAGACACGGCCCAGACUCCUACGGAGGCAGCGGGGGGGAAUAGUGCACAAUGGGGGCAAGCCUGAUGCAGCCAGGCCGCGUGGAUGAAGAAGGCCCUCGGGGUGUAAAGUACUUUCAGUCGGGAGGCGUUACCGACAGAAGAAGCACCGGCUAACUCCGUGCCAGCAGCCGCGGUAAUUC
rnacentral:rRNA from 1 species